rnacentral:misc_RNA from 1 species
GCAGUGCGUGUGUGUCGUAGCAACUUCGCUUAUUCGCUUUCCCUUUCCAUAAUUUGAAUAACUUCUCCACGUUAUCUUUUUGUUGCGGCUGCUUUGCUUUCGUUUUCAAAUUUUCCGGUUGAUUUUGCAACCUCACGCCGAGAGGUAUCUCGCUGGCUGACCCGCCCGCCUCAUCCUCUCCUCCCCCUCUCUCCUACACCCACACGCCCUUGUCUCCUACCCACUCGGCCCUUCUGUCUUUGCUCACAAGGCCACGCCUUCCCUGCUUGCAUCGCUCCCUCUCCCUCGCACUGGCUCUCUCAUUGAAGCAGCCAUCCACUCCGGCGAAGGAAGCAGGCGUGAUUGUUCGUUGGCCCUCGUGCUCUCUCUAUAUAUCACCGCAUCUUUUGUGUUUGUGCUGCUCGUGCCCGUAAGUGCGCCGGCGUCUGUCUGUGUCUCUCUGUGUAGGUGUGUGCGCCUGCGUGUGUGUGUCAGUGUGUGUGUUUCUGUUGUCAACGUAACACAUCCUUCUCAACGUACACGCCAUCCCCACCCAACCCUUCUUUCACCCUCUUGCCACACACAGACACGAACACGCGCAAACCUGGAAUCACGUGCGUGCUGAAUAGAAAGCACAGCACGCGCGAGAAACUACGAGUGAGCACCGUUGCAUUCUGCCUCUUUCCUUUCCUUCCCUCCCCCCACCCACCCACCCCAAUCUUCUCUCGACAUCUCGUGUGAUCCGGCGGCUGUGUCUCUCAUUCGGGCACCGUUUUGCUGCGUACGCCCUCACCAUCUACCUUCUCUCUCAAAGCCUUCUGCUGCACCGCUGCACGUGGGUGUGUGUGCGUGUAGCGGUGUGAGUUGACGAAGAAUCGAUAUCCACGAAGCCGCAAGCGAAACGAAGGAAGAGAAAAGGGCGAGGCAGGAAAGCUAAUCAGCACACAGAGCCGCUCUACGGUAUAGAAGCGCACACGUCUCGAAUCAAGAAACAGGAAAGGAACGAAGGCCGACGUAGAGCAGCUUUGGCCACCCCCCUCCCUCCCUCGAUCUCCUGUGUGCGCGUGCGCGCGUCUUCGGCUUUUUGUUUGCUUGCUUACAUGUGCUAGUAGCCAUUUCCUCGGUUCCGCCAUUGCUUUUCCUCAUCAACGGAAGUGGACCUUUUCUCUCUCCUCGUUGUUGAUCUUCUGUCUCUCAGGCAUUCAUCUGCUCAUCAGUGUCUCUUUCUGUCUGUGUAUGUGGGUGUGUAAGAGAGAGUGAGUCCCUGUGUACUUACGCUGCUCAGAAGGUACCCCCACCAUCGCCACCCGCCUCCUUUUCUCUAUCUGUGUGUCGGUUCACUAUACAUCGUGCUCGACAUCCUUGCUGAUCUCUCCUGUCUGUCUUCUCUUCCUCUCGUGCACUGUUUGUAUCUCUUUUUAGUUUGUUGUUUGUGCUGCGUUUUCUUUCGCCCCCCCCCUCCUCCCUCCCUUCUCUCCCCACCCCCUUCCUCUACUAUUUCGCUUGGCCAGAGGUGAAGUCGUCUUUGUGCCUGUGCCUGCAUGUGUGCGCGCGCGUCGGUUUUUCUUUUGUGUGCUGUUGCCUUUCCUCAACGACUUCUCCCUCCAUUUCUCGCUUGACAGCCUCCCACCUCACGCUGCUCUUCGGAGAAGUGGUACGUGUUUCUCGUCGUUCUCACCGUGUGUGCUGGUCGUGGAUAUGCGUGGCGCUGGUGCCCCGCACUUGUUGUCGCCGUCCUCUGCCCCCUUGUCCCUUUCUCUCUUUUCAUUGCUUUGGCAACGCUUCUCGAAUCUACGCAACAGCAUUCUUUUCUUUUCUGUGUGUGUGUGUGCCGCCGCGAUACUCCCCGUUUAAUUUCGUUACUGUUGGUUUGAGGUCGUGGAGUCCUUCUCUCCAUCACCUCACACACACACACACACACACACACAUACGCACAUCAUCGUCCCGCUGCACCGCUGUAACCGCUCGCAUUCCGGUCCGCCUCUCCUCUCUCUCUUUCUCGCUCUCUGUCUUGUUCGGUUCAGUGUUGUAUUUUGUGCUUUUUUUCUGAUUUCUUUGCUCUAUUCACACGGAGAUUGCCAACGUCGUAGCAGAGAGAGCGCACACGAAUCUCAUUAACGCGUGUGUCCCAGGCUUCUAUUGCCGAGUUGCGUUGUUUUUCGCUCAACGCGCGUGCGCGCCCGCCUCAUCGGAUUGCCACGUUCCGCUCAGCGCAUUCAAGCAAGAAGCAACGGGCACAGAAGAGUCAAGGAGACAUAACGCUUCCCCAUCACCACCACCUUCUUCCUCAUCUUCUCCCGCCGCGCCAUCAGCAAGAUGAGCAUCGAAGUACCCGUGAAGAAAUCCGAGGAUUCGGAUGACCGCACCGGCUUCUUCGAAACACUGAAGCUGAGCUGGAUCUACACAGUCGCCGAUGUCCGGCGCCGACCGCGUAAUAUCAUCAUCGGCAUCGCCGCAGUGAUGCUGCUCGUCUUCUUCUCUGCUGUUGUCCUCAUUGGCAUCUGGAAGACCCCAUAUAUCUUGCUACGCCUGGCGGAACUAACAGUGGGUGAAAUGGACGUCAUUCUCUACGGCGGCGGCGCGACGCUGCUGCUCAACUACACGAAGCUGAACCAGAGCUUCGUCAAAUCGCCGGUCGUCGCUGGUGCUGCGCCGCGCUGGAUCGCUCGAGCCAGCCUCACCUCCGAGGCGACCUAUCGCGCAAGCAUGCACCACGCCGCUGGUACACGUACUAGGGACCGCGUCACGGCGGCCAACAUCCUGCUCAUCAACUCCGAGCUGGAACAACUGGCCGGCAUUGGACGCGGGUGGCCGUACCGAGAGAUCGGCUUUGACGAGGCCCAAAUCUUCUUCUCAGCUGCAAACUACAUCGGCGUCUCCGGCAACAAGGGCGAGCGCGUUCAUCUUAGCAUCAACGCGUCGUCUCUCAGCAACGCCAUUGGCAUCGACACCCUGUCCUUCAACAUCACACGCCCCAAAAAGGUGACGGACCCCAUCUCCUUCUACCUAGCGGCCUUCUUCAUGCUCAACAACAUCACCGAGGACUCGAUACCGUUGUUCGACGUCGUAUCGCUGAGCAUGGCAGCGACCAUGGCGGACGCGGUGGAGACGACGGCUGGCAAGUACGCGAGCGCGCUAGGCAACGCCGUCAUCAUGGACUGCCGGCAAUUCUUGAACGUGCUGGUGGAUCAGAGCUGCCUGCUUGGGCCGCAGAGUAUCAGCCCGUCAGAGGGCUACUACUUCCCGACCACUGCUGAGCUGUUCAACAUCACACUCCCGUCAACGAACUCCUUAGACAUCCAGGACUAUGCGAUGAUGGUGGUGGUGAUGCUGGAGGGGCGAUACGACAUGUACUAUGCCGACACAAAGCUGCGCGGGGCAAUGUUGACGGAGAAGAGCAACAAACUGAUGGAAGCCGUCGGCCUCAGCUUCGAAGGCACCUUGCAGUUUCCGGUGGACACAACAAUCCAGACACUUGAUACGUUCCGCACGUUGAUGACGGCGGCCUGCGUGACGGUGGUCGUCGGCAUCGUUGUACUCGGGUCCAUCCUUAUGUUCACACUGCUUCAGAUCAACGCUGAGGAGCGGCAGUUCGAGCUGGCCAUGAUUCGCGCGCAGGGUAUGUCGCGCACGCAGAUUAUCGGUAUUCUGGUUAUGCAGACACUCGCCUUCACCGUGCCUGGCACAGCGUUCGGCGUGCUACUCGCGUGUGCAACGAAUGCGAUACUCGAGCGGAUGCUGGCGAACUUCACCAAGGCGCCCACCCGCUUGGGCGACGUGCCGAUCGUUGCGAUAACGAUUGGCAUUCUGAUGGGUCUGCUGCUGCCGCUGGUGGCCACUUACAGCCCGGUUAAGAGGGCGCUGAGCAGCAGCCUGCGUGACGCGUUGGACAUCUACCGCCAGGUGUACAACGAGGCGCACGUGAAGGCGAUUCGGCUAGAGGAGAUGGGCCUGCGCAUGUGGCAGAUCUUCCUCGGCAUCUUCCUGGUCUUCGCGGGCUUCCUGGUGUACUACCUCAUGCCGCUGAGCUUCAUCUUUUCCAACAUGAUGAUGUUCUUCAUCCUGCUCGACUUUGUGCUUAUCUGCAUGAUUGCCGGGCUGUGCAUGAUGACGUACGUCGUCCAGGGGCCGGCGGAGGUGUUUGUGCUGUAUCUGCUUCUGUGGGGCCGCGAGACACGACUAUGGACGCUUAUCCGCAAGAACUUGCGAAGUCACCGCGACCGCAACUCCAAGGCGUACGUGAUGUUCUUACUAAGCGUGGCGUGCCUCGUUGCAUCCGGCAUGAUGUUCAGCAUGAUGUCCACCAUCUCCUCUCAGUUGGCGGAGCUGACGACCGGUGCGCCGGUGACAGUGACUUCGAAAUCGUUCUGGAACCCCCUCGACCAGGCAAGCCUCGACGCGUUCAUGCGUGGUGAAGGAAGCCUCUACGCCACGCAGUGGGCCUACACCUCCUUCGCGCUCCGCGAGUACCCGCAGAUCGCCAGCAGGACACAGGUCGGCAACCUCAUCGGCAACUUCCGCACCAUCGGCGUGCGGGCGGUGACGGAGUUCUUCAUGGACGCCACCUACCCGGAAUUCAACAUGGUGGAUAGCUACCGCAGCGGCUACAAGUACCCGAUGAACACCUUCCACCAGCGCGACGUUGUCCGCAGCAUGUACGAGCACCCGCCGCAUCGCAACGUGAGCAAGAAGCAGGGCAUCAUCGUCAAUGGGUUCCCCUACGGUGUCAAGAUUCCGAACGUGACGGCGAAGGAGUCGCAGGUGAUUCCAAUGAUCAUCUCCUCUGCCGCCCAGGACGAGAUUGGGCUGGACGUGAACUCCGCGGCUCAGCUGCGCUUCGACUACUUUCUGAACGACAGUGCCCAAACCAUGUCCACCGUCUUCUUCCUCGAGCCGCGGGCCCUCAUGGACCGCAUCUCCGGCUUCCUCGCGGUCUCCUCGCUGCCCAUCCUCUUCACUCAAGGCACCAUUCUGGUGCCGACCAAGUACUUCCAGAGCCUGCUCAACCCGGCGGUACUCGACUUCGACGCGGAGCAGAUGAUCUCGAUCACCAACCACUCCGUCCUGGAGGUGCGGCAGGCAGUGCUGUAUGUGCAGCUCCGCAGCAAUGUCACGAAGCGCGAGCGUGAGAUCUUUGUGAACGCGCUCCAGACGCACACCGAUACUCUCUACCACGCCAUCGUUGACACCGAGGCCACCGUGGAGCAGCUCCGCUCGGUGCAGAACCUGAUCAUGGGCUUCUUUUACUUCACCUCGGUCAUCUGCAUCACGCUUUGCGCUUUCAUGAUGUGGACCACGUUCAUCUCUAACGUGCAGCUCAAUGCGUGGACCUUUGGUGUGUUGCGCGCGCUCGGUUUCCGCACCGCGCAGCUGAUGCGCUGCGCCGUCUACGAGUCCCUCUGUAUUGUCAUCUCCGCAUUUGCGUUGGGGCUGGUGGUGGGCGUUGCGGUUGGCGUGACGAUGGCCAUUGAACUGUGCCAGAUCAUGGUCAUUCCGUUCCAUUUUAGCUUCCCUUACGCGCUAGUGAUCGUUGUGUUCGGCAUGGCGCUCGCGGCCGCCGUUGUUGGCUCCAUCGCACCACUUCUGAGUCUGCGCAAAAAGCCGAUCUCCUUUGUCCUGCGCGGCAUCUAGGAUGAAUGUAUAUAUGUGUGUGCGUGUGCCCGCGCUAUGUGUGGCCCUCUUUCAUGCAAUCGAGGAGCCUGCGACUCUACACUCCCUGCCUCCCAACAAAGGGCGUCCUUCCUUCUUCGUUGUCGGCACUGCGCUCCUCUUCAAGGAUCCACCUUGGAGUACGGGAUCGAGUCUUUGUGCGUGCGAGUGUACGAGUACGUCUCCCUCAGCGUGCAUACGACAUGGUCCGCCGCUACUGUGGCUGCUGUCCUCAUCCCCCGAAUUCCCCUUUGACUCUCUGGCUCUUCUCCUGAUGCCUUUGCUCUUUUCGUGCAAUGCAAAACCUCUGGAGCAGCGAGGGCGAGGAAGAGAAGUUGUGCAAGCGUUGCGGAUCUCGAGAAGUGGGGGGCAGGCAGACAGCGAGAGCCCAGAGCGAUGGAGAGUGAUGUUCGUGAAAGCAUGGUUGGGCACAUGCACACGCUCGCGCGUGCAGAAGAAACUGGUGACCUAGAGAGGCCAGAGCAAGCAGAAGCGCGGCGAAGUGAGGGCGGAAGGCGGUGAUGGUGGAGGAGGGAGCGGGAGCUGUUGCUGACACGUACACUGGCAGCCCUCCCCAACCGUUUGAAGGGCGCUCUUUGUGUCUGUGUGUGUGGGUCUGCAUCUCUCCCGCUACCUUCUCCUCCGGUGCGUUGAGAGUCGUGCCGCCUUUCAUUCUUCCUCCCUCGUGUGUUUCUCGCCUCCUCUCGUGCGCUGUCUUACGCAUGCGCGAAUAGACGCAGGGAGUACACCUCUCGCCUCCUGCGCUCUGCUGCCACUUCCAUUUACCUGUGCGUCUGCACGCUCUUGCGCCGUAGUGCAGCGCACUCCUGCUGCUGCGGCUGUUUCGUUUGUUUUUAUUUUCUUGGGAGAUCGGGGGCUUUCUUCCCUUGGUGUUUCCGUUCUCUCGUUGACGGUCCGGCGCCGCUGCGGUAACCCCCCACGACAUCCACGGCUCCGCCUUGCCUUUCCUCCAUUUCUCUCUAGCUCUACUCCCACGCUCCGCCCCUCACCACUCAUCCUUUCCCGUGCCGCCGCCACCGCCGCCGCCGCCUUCCCCUGCACCUACUUCAACCUCUGUGUAGAUCAACGCAUUCAAGCUGCAGCCGAAGGGCUCGUGCGGCCAUGUCCUCUGCAGCUCUCACGGAGGCGGGGGAAGGCGUUGCUACUGGAGUUCGAAAGUCAGAGAGAGGGAACGCUUCGUGCGCAUUACGACACGAAAUAUCCGUGUCGUAUUCGUGCGCGUUCGAUCCCCGGGUAUGACGGAACCUCAUGCGCCUCUUUUCUUGCCGUGUUUUGAUCUCUCGCCCCGUCUAUCCGCGUCUUUCGCAUUUGGCAGCUGCAGGAAAAAGCAACACAAAAACGAAAAGACCAGCGAAACGAGCGAUUUGAGGAGAUGGGGGGGGGGCGACGGUGUCACUCCGCUACUGGGAAAGGCCGGGGGAAGGGGAGAUGAGAGCGGGUGCGCCAGCGUAGAUGGCUUGCGUGCUUUCGCACACCUAUGAGCAUGUGCGGAGCGUUGGGGGUGAGAAAUGCCUUUGGAUCGUUUCGUUUCUAUGGAUGUGUUGCACCUCCUCAGCAAUGUCUUUGUUUUGUUCUCUUCCUGCUCCACCGGGCACCUUCUCCAUUUUGAAUGCUCCUGACGGACUCAGCGGGGUCCCUUCCGAUCUUUUACGCGCGUGUAUGUUGAUGUGUUUCCCUGUGUCGUUGUUGUUGACAGGUCCGAGAAAACGGUAUCUUACUGCUUUCGGCUUUAUAUGAGAUUUGAGUCGGCGCGUCUAGUAAUCUCGUUCGUCUUCUCCUCCGCCACUGUUUGGCGAGCCUCCACCCUCCUCUCUCUGCGGCGCGUCAACAAACACACACACACACGCACAUAUUUUUAUCUUCAGCCCCCACCUUCCCCCAUGCCACACCACCCUUUCCCUAGCCCGACACCUACGAACUUUGUGGUGUAUGCUGCGCAAGUUUGAUUGCGACAGUGCACGAGUCAUCGCGCCCUCUCCCCCACUUCACCCCUCCUCCGCUUUAUUCUUUUAGCUCUGUGUGGUCCUCGGUGACGUGGGACACUGCAGUGCGUGGCGUCAGGUCCCAGUGCACUGACUCUCGGUGGGGAGGCCAGGCAGCCAUUCAUACGAUUAGGCAGAGUGUCGACCUGACUCGAGCGUAUCCCAACCCACCCCCCGGCCCUCACACGGCUUACUGGUGGGUGGGCUGAGUUUGAGGCAGGGGACGUGCUCCGGUGACUGAGCCGGCGCACUGCUGUAACGCGUGUGUCUAGGGCUACUUCGUCACCACAAUGUGGCGGCCUGCGGCAGGGCCAAGGAGCGACUGGGGAGUGAAGUGGAGGUCGACUCGUAUUGAAUAUUCAGCAGAUGGGCCUGCUGAGGAAAAGCAAACACGCCUUUGUUUUAGGCCACCGUCUUCUUCAGGAGGGGUCACGUCGAGCGCUACGGUAAUGAGGCGCCAUCUGCGACCUUUCGGUGCUCCAUGAGCGAGCUCUUCUCCUCGUGCGCGUCCGCGCAGAAACGCAAUUCGAGGGUCCCACCUCCUUUUGGCAGCACAGCGUCCUGUGCGCGUAGUCUUCUCUCCGAUGGCUCACGCGCUCUUUCCGCCGACAGCCGCUCCCCAUCUCGCUGGUCGGAGCGCGAAGCCGAGGCAACGCGUAAUCUCGAAACGAUGGGGGCGAGGCACUUUGGACGGUUUGCACCGACGGCGGAGAGAGGGGCCGGGUGCCCCCUCGGGCGGGGGCAGGAACGGUUCGGGCAGCCCAAACGGCUCGCAGAGAAACUGGGAGUGGGGGACGGCGAAGGCGACCGUUGCAGCGCUGGCGUCGGCAAUUCCGUGACGACUUUGUUCUUUCAAGCCCGGGCAACACAACAAAUGCUCAGGGGUCUCUUGGCAGCGGUGGUUGCGCAUCCACAGUGCGGCUUUGACAGGCUCACGAACGCCGUCGGUGCCGUUGAGGUGCACCGCGAGUGCUACACGCUCCACAUCUCACGUCACCGCAAAAAAGAGGCGUCCGUGCGCAGAACGCGCGCGUGGGUGAUGUCGCCGCGCGUGACCACGUGUGACAGCGGGGUAGUGCAUACAGGGGGAAGUAGCCCCCCCGCACCACCACCACCACCACCGUGAUCACGUCGCUACCCACGGCCUGUCUGCCGGAGUCUACGCCGCGCUCGUCUACCUCAAAAGGCAGGUUUGCUGGCUUCGCUACGGUAGGCUUCCGUCUUUUGCGGAGCUGUGUGACGGUGCGCUCCUCUGCGCUCACCGUGUGCGUGGGUGUCUUUGCGCACCUGCGUUUCAUCGGAUGUCGGCACAUUAUCUUCCGCUGUCGCUUUCUGCUUUCCGUUUUGUGCUUUUCGCUCGUGGCAAUCUCUCUGUCUUUCUGUGUCUUAUCUUGCCGGUGCUGAGCUCCGCACUAGCGUCUUCGCCCAGGCUCUUGGAGCUCUCUUUCUCUCUGUGUGUCUGUGUGCGUGUUCCUCACCGUGCAGUCCAUCUCACGUCUCCACACUACUUCGGUGGGUGUCGCCAAUCUUUUCACUCUCCCAUGAUGCACAUAUAGAGGACGAAGAAAGAAAAUACAGAAAACGAUCAUGGUGCGAAUCGGCAUGGACGCUCGCGCUCUCUCCAUGCUAUCUGUCGUUCCCCCCUCUGACCACCUGCGGAGGCGCGCGUGGCCACGUGCCCACAGAUGUGCAGGCUAGCCCCCUUCUCUCUCGUUGUUGCAUUCCCGGCAGUUUUAGGUAGGAGGAAGGGGGUGAAUCGGAGAGAAAAUGAUGGCAUCCUGUCCCUUGUAUACGACACAGCCGCGC